GUGAGGAAUAUUGGUCAAUGGGCGAGAGCCUGAACCAGCCAAGUCGCGUGCAGGAAGACGGCCCUAUGGGUUGUAAACUGCUUUUGUAAGGGGAUAAAAUGGGGUACGCGUACUCUAUUGCAGGUACCUUACGAAUAAGGAUCGGCUAACUCCGUGCCAGCAGCCGCGGUAAUACGGAGGAUCCGAGCGUUAUCCGGAUUUAUUGGGUUUAAAGGGUGCGUAGGCGGGUCUUUAAGUCAGUGGUGAAAGUUUGCAGCUUAACUGUAAAAUUGCCAUUGAAACUGAAGGUCUUGAGUACAGAAGAGGUAGGCGGAAUGUGUAGUGUAGCGGUGAAAUGCAUAGAUAUUACACAGAACACCGAUUGCGAAGGCAGCUUACUGGUAUGUAACUGACGCUGAGGCACGAAAGCGUGGGGAUCAAACAGGAUUAGAAACCCCUGUAGUCC
rnacentral:rRNA from 1 species